UAAAAAUCAAAGCCGUUGAACUCAUGGACUUAGAAAGUAGAAGAUUCACAGUCUGAGAAUGAGGCUUCACCAGUAAAACGGCCACGACUACUGGAGAAUACGGAACGGUCUGAGGAAACCAGUCGAUCUAAACAGAAGAGUCGACGUCGGUGCUUCCAGUGCCAAACCAAACUGGAGCUGGUGCAGCAGGAAUUGGGAUCGUGUCGCUGCGGUUACGUGUUCUGUAUGUUACAUCGCCUCCCCGAGCAGCACGACUGCACAUUCGACCACAUGGGCCGUGGCCGGGAGGAAGCUAUCAUGAAAAUGGUGAAGCUGGACCGGAAAGUGGGGCGCUCCUGCCAGCGCAUCGGGGAGGGGUGCUCCUGAAGGCCAGGCAUGGCCACCACAUGACGCUGUUCUUAGUUCACUAAUGUUAGCCUUAUUUAGGACAAAGUCAGCCAGACACCUUGUACUGGGCACGCGUCAGACUGCAGCCAGUCCGUUUCCUUUCUUUAGCCAGCCAUCCUGGUACUGUAGUUUAGGGGUUGAUGGUGGUUGAAAUUGAUUUCUGGCUGGUUACUAAGGUGCCUGCUAGCCAUUGUAUAAAAUUAAAACAUGAAGAAUAUUUUUUUUUGAGCAUGGCUAGUGGAUUUAAAACAACACAUACCUGUCACUGCUGGAGUCAAACUUAUAAAAAGCCUUAAGUGGAAAGUGUUCCAGACGGAGACUCUGAGUUAAUAGAGGAGUAGAAGCUGGUGUUAAAGUCCCCACGACGCACAUGGCUUUGCCAGAAACUCUGUUUAAUGUUCGGCCUUUCACCUCUUCACUUAUCCUUAGUCCC
rnacentral:sRNA from 1 species